UUUGACACAGCAACAACAUAAUCAUUAAAAACUACUUAAUUGAUGUAAACAUAACAAAAAGUUUUACUAUAUAAAGUAAUCAAACCCGUUUAUAUUUGUUACAUACAAACAUGAAAAGAUGGCUGAAACUCUCAAGUUUGCGUAUAUUGUGAUCCUUUUUGUUUCCCUUUUUAUCAUUGUAGUCGUUGGUCUUAAAGAGUGUGAUACCGAUGAAGAUUGCGCUAAACUAUACGUAGAUGAUAUUCCUGAAUUACUGAAGUGCAUGGAAGAACGUUGCUAUGAAUAUACCUUUAUUCCCGAUUUUAUCAUAGAUCUUUAAAAGCAUAUGUACGUCAAAUAUUCUUUGAAUAUAUAAUACUAAUAUAUUCAAAGACCUAUAAUGAAUAAGCAUAUUUUAUAUAUCA